CGCCGGGAAAUUGAGUCCUCCAGCCGGCACUCUGCUCCCGUUCGCCAUGGCGUGUGGACUACAUCCCCCGGCAUGCUGCGCUCGCCGAUACCGGGCAUGCACACGUGGGCAGGCUGGAUGCGGAAGGAGUGUGGAGACAAUGGGCGAAGGGGAUCUUUUUUCGACAAUAAAAAACAAGAAAGAUUGCACACGCGGUUCAAAAAUAAAGUGCCGUGGGCUCUGCAAGCAGCGGUUAAUUAUACGAAAUGGCAAAUAGAAGUACGUCCUUUUAUUCAGAGGCUAUGCUCUCUGGUCCUAGACAUGCCCACUACUGGAAUCAUCUUCUCCACAUCCACUCUGACUAGGAAUGAUUUUCUCCAUUUCCACUUAUCAUUUCAACCGGAAUCUAUCAGAGUAAAAAAAAAAUUGGAGCGCUAUCAGCGUUUCCACUUUGACGGCAAUUACUCGAAAUUCUGGUUCCGGCCGCUGGAAGUUUUGGGGAAAAGAAAUUGUGACAAUCCGUGCCAGCGCAGAUCGGGGAAGCCAUUGACGCAGUAGCAAUGCAAAAUGACGCUGCCUCUCCACGCAUGUGCAGUGGGCCCGGGCGGGUUCAGAUCUCCAUUUGCACUCCACACAAUCACCUCGAUGCCUCGUGUCUACUCCAGAACAGCAGUCGGUACAAUUCUUCCACAUUAGCUGCAGCCCGAGAAAAUAUAUCUCGGACAGGCAGGAGAAAAAACGCAUUUUAACCAUGCCCCCACCCCUCAAAGGCGCCAAAGUCACGCAC